UCUCUCUCAGCAGCUGUCUUUCUCGCGCCCACUGGCCGGUCUCUCCUCUUCCCCGCAGUUGCCUCCUUCUCUGCCUGCCUGGGUGGCCGCCAUGGGCCGGAAGCGGCUCAUCACUGAUUCCUACCCGGUUGUGAAGAGGAGGGAGGGGCCCGCUGGGCACAGCAAGGGGGAGCUGGCACCCGAGCUAGGGGAGGAGCCCCAGCCCCGCGACGAGGAGGAAGCGGAGCUGGAGCUGCUGAGGCAGUUUGACCUGGCCUGGCAGUACGGGCCCUGCACCGGUGAGAACCCACCCAGCCCCACGGAGGCGCCUCUCCCAGCCAGUCACCCACACGUCUCUGAAGUCACCCAAGCGCUUGCGUGACUCUGACCCUCAGGAACUGUCUCCCCCCAACACACACAUUCUCCAGCUCAGACUCUACCCCACCCCCCACAAGUCUCCAGAGUCUUCUUCCCACCCUGGCAGGGAUCACACGGCUGCAGCGCUGGUGUCGGGCCAAGCAGAUGGGCUUGGAGCCUCCCCCAGAGGUGUGGCAGGUGCUGAAGACCCACCCCGGAGACCCCCGCUUCCAGUGCAGGUCAGAGACAGGCCGGGAGGGCUUUCAGGGGAGCCAGGGCCUUCUCCAGGCACUGUCACCCUGCUGUCCUGACCUGAGGGAGAAAUGGAUGGAGGGUUGGAAGGCCUUGCUGAACAGGCAAGAAGAUUCUAUGAGGUGCCUGGCUCAGGAGGACACGCCACUAUAAUAAUUCUUUUUUUUUGAGACAGAGUCUUGCUCUGUUGCCCAGGCUGGAGUGCAGUGGCGCGAUCUCGGCUCACUGCAAACUCCGCCUCUCGGGUUCACGCCAUUCUCCUGUCUCAGCCUCCCAAGUAGCUGGGACUACAGGCGCCCGCCAACACGCCCGGCUAAUUUUUUCUAUUUUUAGUAGAGACAGGGUUUCACCGUGUUAGCCAGGAUGGUCUUGAUCUCCUGACCUCGUGAUCCCACCCACCUCAGCCUCCCAAAGUGCUGGGAUUACAGGCGUGAGCCACCACACCCGGCCAAUAAUUCUUACCUCUACAAGCUAGUGGGGGGCAAAGGUACACCCAGGACCCAAGGAACUAUCUAUUUAGAACUGAGGGGUUUCCCAAGGACUAUGGGCAUGGCCAAGAAUAAGCUGGUGAAAUCAGAUCCAGGGACUCAACAACUGAUUCUCUGUUUCUCUCUCUCUCUCUCUGGGGUAUCCCUCCCUCCCACCCCAUCUUCCACAGUCUCUGGCAUCUCUAUCCCCUAUGAGGCACCACGUAAGACCUCCUGCCCUUAGCUCUCUUGCUCACCACCCAAGAACCUCAGGACAGAAGCGAGAGCCCAUUGCUCCUGCUCAGCUCAGCCCGGCUGCGGAGGAACCCUUGGCAGGCAGAACCUGGAGGUGUCAGAGGCUCAACUCCUCCAUCUAACCAGCAGGCUCCCAGAGUCCCCGGAAGAGCCUGCGCAGCUGAAGCAGAGUGCUUCUAGAUGGAGAGUGGUCACUGGGGAAAAGGACCUGGCCAUCACCUUCCAAUACCUGCUGCCUGUCUCCCUGACCCAUGAUCUGGCAAGUUAGGCACAGUCAGACAUGGACAGUUGAUCCAUGAGGAAAAGAUGCUCUCCCACCUAAGGCCAGGAAUCUGAGAGCAGGACUGGCUGAGCUCCCAGGGCAAGGGGUUCACUAAUGCUUAUCAAUAAA
rnacentral:lncRNA from 1 species